rnacentral:lncRNA from 1 species
CUGCUUCCUUGGUUACCAGAUCUGGGCCUGGAUCAAACCACUUCAAUUCACUGAGCCUCUGUGAAGAGAAAAUAGAAAUUCUGCUUGUCUGCAUCUCUUCGGUGGGAGAAGGAUAAAACGAUUAUUGAGACGUGCUCUGUAAACGUUGCCCGUUACUAUCCACAUGUCUAAAUGAUGAGGCGAGAAAGGAAAAAGCCUCUGGUAUGUCAGAACCAUGCUGUCUUCCAUGGGACUUCCUUUGUGAAGAGCAUCCAUUUAAAAGACUUUUAUGAAUACAUGGUUUCAAUCAAGUCCCCAAAGAACACAUUUGUCUUCUGAGCUGCUGGCAGUUUUGAGCUGAAGUUGUAGAAACUCACAGAAACAUAUGUUAGAGUGGGAAGUUGCAUAUCAACUCAUCCAGUCUUUUCCAAAGUAUGUCAAUAAAUAUUACCUGAAAGAAAAGAAGAGGGAGAGUCUGUAGUCAAGUAAGUUUGUAUAAUGGAAGGUAAAACAAAAUGGGACAGACACCUUGAAUAUACUCAUAUGUGUUUCAAAG